rnacentral:rRNA from 1 species
UCGGAAGGGUCGGAGGUGCCAACGGUCGAUCGAAACGGACCUCCUCCAAGGCCGGGCCGCAGGCACGGUCUCCGACUCGCCCGACGCAUUUCCUCUCGCACUACGGACGCCGCAACCGGUCGGGUAGCUGCGCGAGUCGGCCACGAGGGCGGGCGCCGGCAGGUGGCCGGGGGUUUCGCUUCGGCGUCUCUCCCGGUUGUUAGCCAGCUCGCCCGUGGCGCGACACCCGACCGAGGUCGACCCGUUCCCGCUCGUGGGAACGCGCCGUCCCCUUUCCAGCGGGCGCUCCGGCAGGCGAACUGCGGUCGUCGCCGAGUCACUCUUCGUAGUGGCCGGCGCGUCGCGGACGCCGUUGGCCGGCAGUGAGUCCCGCGGGGGCGGUCCCGGGGUUGGCGGCGAGUAGGUCGGUCACCCACCCGACCCGUCUUGAAACACGGACCAAGGAGUCUAACAUGUGCGCGAGUCACGGGGUCUUGACCAGGCCCAGAGGCGCAAUGAAAGUGAAGGCCGCUCUCGCGGUGGCUGUGUUGGGACUCCGCUCGAAUUUUCGGGCGGAAGCACCAACGGCCCGUCCCGUCCGAUUUAUCGGUGGGGCGGAGUCGGAGCGUACACGUUGGGACCCGAAAGAUGGUGAACUAUGCCUGGGCAGGACGAAGCCAGAGGAAACUCUGGUGGAGGUCCGUAGCGGU